GGUUAAGCGACUAAGCGUACACGGUGGAUGCCCUGGCAGUCAGAGGCGAUGAAGGACGUGCUAAUCUGCGAUAAGCGUCGGUGAGGUGAUAUGAACCGUUAUAACCGGCGAUUUCCGAAUGGGGAAACCCAGUGUGUUUCGACACACUAUCAUUAACUGAAUCCAUAGGUUAAUGAGGCGAACCGGGGGAACUGAAACAUCUAAGUACCCCGAGGAAAAGAAAUCAACCGAGAUUCCCCCAGUAGCGGCGAGCGAACGGGGAGGAGCCCAGAGCCUGAAUCAGUGUGUGUGUUAGUGGAAGCGUCUGGAAAGGCGUGCGAUACAGGGUGACAGCCCCGUACACAAAAAUGCACAUAUUGUGAGCUCGAUGAGUAGGGCGGGACACGUGGUAUCCUGUCUGAAUAUGGGGGGACCAUCCUCCAAGGCUAAAUACUCCUGACUGACCGAUAGUGAACCAGUACCGUGAGGGAAAGGCGAAAAGAACCCCGGCGAGGGGAGUGAAAAAGAACCUGAAACCGUGUACGUACAAGCAGUGGGAGCCUCUUAAUGGGGUGACUGCGUACCUUUUGUAUAAUGGGUCAGCGACUUAUAUUCUGUAGCAAGGUUAACCGAAUAGGGGAGCCGAAGGGAAACCGAGUCUUAACUGGGCGUUAAGUUGCAGGGUAUAGACCCGAAACCCGGUGAUCUAGCCAUGGGCAGGUUGAAGGUUGGGUAACACUAACUGGAGGACCGAACCGACUAAUGUUGAAAAAUUAGCGGAUGACUUGUGGCUGGGGGUGAAAGGCCAAUCAAACCGGGAGAUAGCUGGUUCUCCCCGAAAGCUAUUUAGGUAGCGCCUCGUGAAUUCAUCUCCGGGGGGAGAGCACUGUUUCGGCAAGGGGGUCAUCCCGACUUACCAACCCGAUGCAAACUGCGAAUACCGGAGAAUGUUAUCACGGGAGACACACGGCGGGUGCUAACGUCCGUCGUGAAGAGGGAAACAACCCAGACCGCCAGCUAAGGUCCCAAAGUCAUGGUUAAGUGGGAAACGAUGUGGGAAGGCCCAGACAGCCAGGAUGUUGGCUUAGAAGCAGCCAUCAUUUAAAGAAAGCGUAAUAGCUCACUGGUCGAGUCGGCCUGCGCGGAAGAUGUAACGGGGCUAAACCAUGCACCGAAGCUGCGGCAGCGACACUAUGUGUUGUUGGGUAGGGGAGCGUUCUGUAAGCCUGUGAAGGUGGCCUGUGAGGGUUGCUGGAGGUAUCAGAAGUGCGAAUGCUGACAUAAGUAACGAUAAAGCGGGUGAAAAGCCCGCUCGCCGGAAGACCAAGGGUUCCUGUCCAACGUUAAUCGGGGCAGGGUGAGUCGACCCCUAAGGCGAGGCCGAAAGGCGUAGUCGAUGGGAAACAGGUUAAUAUUCCUGUACUUGGUGUUACUGCGAAGGGGGGACGGAGAAGGCUAUGUUGGCCGGGCGACGGUUGUCCCGGUUUAAGCGUGUAGGCUGGUUUUCCAGGCAAAUCCGGAAAACCAAGGCUGAGGCGUGAUGACGAGGCACUACGGUGCUGAAGCGACAAAUGCCCUGCUUCCAGGAAAAGCCUCUAAGCAUCAGGUAACAUCAAAUCGUACCCCAAACCGACACAGGUGGUCAGGUAGAGAAUACCAAGGCGCUUGAGAGAACUCGGGUGAAGGAACUAGGCAAAAUGGUGCCGUAACUUCGGGAGAAGGCACGCUGAUAUGUAGGUGAAGCGACUUGCUCGUGGAGCUGAAAUCAGUCGAAGAUACCAGCUGGCUGCAACUGUUUAUUAAAAACACAGCACUGUGCAAACACGAAAGUGGACGUAUACGGUGUGACGCCUGCCCGGUGCCGGAAGGUUAAUUGAUGGGGUUAGCGGCAACGCGAAGCUCUUGAUCGAAGCCCCGGUAAACGGCGGCCGUAACUAUAACGGUCCUAAGGUAGCGAAAUUCCUUGUCGGGUAAGUUCCGACCUGCACGAAUGGCGUAAUGAUGGCCAGGCUGUCUCCACCCGAGACUCAGUGAAAUUGAACUCGCUGUGAAGAUGCAGUGUACCCGCGGCAAGACGGAAAGACCCCGUGAACCUUUACUAUAGCUUGACACUGAACAUUGAGCCUUGAUGUGUAGGAUAGGUGGGAGGCUUUGAAGUGUGGACGCCAGUCUGCAUGGAGCCGACCUUGAAAUACCACCCUUUAAUGUUUGAUGUUCUAACGUUGGCCCGUAAUCCGGGUUGCGGACAGUGUCUGGUGGGUAGUUUGACUGGGGCGGUCUCCUCCUAAAGAGUAACGGAGGAGCACGAAGGUUGGCUAAUCCUGGUCGGACAUCAGGAGGUUAGUGCAAUGGCAUAAGCCAGCUUGACUGCGAGCGUGACGGCGCGAGCAGGUGCGAAAGCAGGUCAUAGUGAUCCGGUGGUUCUGAAUGGAAGGGCCAUCGCUCAACGGAUAAAAGGUACUCCGGGGAUAACAGGCUGAUACCGCCCAAGAGUUCAUAUCGACGGCGGUGUUUGGCACCUCGAUGUCGGCUCAUCACAUCCUGGGGCUGAAGUAGGUCCCAAGGGUAUGGCUGUUCGCCAUUUAAAGUGGUACGCGAGCUGGGUUUAGAACGUCGUGAGACAGUUCGGUCCCUAUCUGCCGUGGGCGCUGGAGAACUGAGGGGGGCUGCUCCUAGUACGAGAGGACCGGAGUGGACGCAUCACUGGUGUUCGGGUUGUCAUGCCAAUGGCACUGCCCGGUAGCUAAAUGCGGAAGAGAUAAGUGCUGAAAGCAUCUAAGCACGAAACUUGCCCCGAGAUGAGUUCUCCCUGAGACUUAGAGUCUCCUGAAGGAACGUUGAAGACGACGACGUUGAUAGGCCGGGUGUGUAAGCGCAGCGAUGCGUUGAGCUAACCGGUACUAAUGAACCGUGAGGCUUAACCUU
rnacentral:rRNA from 1 species